rnacentral:rRNA from 1 species
UACGUAGGGGGCAAGCGUUGUCCGGAAUCAUUGGGCGUAAAGAGCUCGUAGGCGGUUUGUCGCGUCUGCUGUGAAAACUCGGGGCUUAACCCCGAGCCUGCUUCUGAUACGGGCAGACUAGAGGUAUGCAGGGGAGAACGGAAUUCCUGGUGUAGCGGUGAAAUGCGCAGAUAUCAGGAGGAACACCGGUGGCGAAGGCGGUUCUCUGGGCAUUACCUGACGCUGAGGAGCGAAGUGUGGGAGCGAACAGG